GGCUGAGAUUCGCCUUCAUGAAGCUGGAAUUGCUAGUAAUGGCAGGUCAGCAUACUGCCGUGAAUACGUUCCCGGGCCUUGUACACACCGCCCGUCACACCAUGAGAGUUGGGAAUACCCGAAGCCUGUGAGCUAACUUAUAGAGGCAGCAGUCGAAGGUAGAAUCAAUGAUUGGGGUGAAGUCGUAACAAGGUAAC
rnacentral:rRNA from 1 species